UCCCGCAUAGCUCAAUCGGCAGAGCGUCCGGCUGUUAACCGGCAGGUUGAAGGUUCGAGUCCUUCUGCGGGAG
rnacentral:tRNA from 1 species